rnacentral:lncRNA from 1 species
GUGCUAUUAUAAAUGGUAGUUUUUUUUUUUUUUUUAAAUUCAAGUGUUAACUCUUUAUCGCUGGCUAUAGGAAUACAAUUGAAUUUUGUGUAUUGACUUACAUUUAUCCUGCCACUUCACCAGUUCAUUUACUAGUUGUAGGAGAUUUCUGUAGCCAGGAAUACAAUUGGCCAAGAUAUUUUGUCUUGUCACACUGUCCUGUUCAGGGAAAAAAACUACAUCUUUUGUGCCUGUUCAUUCCCCUUGGAAAAUGUUUAUUGAGCUCUUAGUAAGUGUUCAGUACCUUCAUGGAUGAAGCUAGAACUAGGUGCUGAUAAACAGCUAACAGAAGAGGUAGAAAUGGUGACUCCUUGCUCUAGUUUGGAUUUUUUUUUUUGUGUGUGUACCAGGGUUUGAACCCUGGGGUGUUUAACUAUUGAGACACAUUCCCACUCCUCUUUUAUUUUUAUUUUGAGACAGGGUCUUGCUAAGUUGCUGAGGCUGGUCUUGAACUUGUGAUCCUCCUGCCUCAGCCUCCCAAGUUUCUGGGAUUAUAGGUGUGCACUACACUACGGUGCCUGGCUCUAGUUUGAAUCUUAAAUAUUCUCCAGAGGCCCGUGUCCCCAAGGUGGGGGCUAUCGGGAGAUGGUAGAAUUUAGGAGGUGGGGUUUAGAGGGAGGUCUUUAGGACUUUGGGGGUGUACCCUGGAGGACAUGGUGGGAUCCCAGUUUCUUCCUUUCCUCUCUUCGUGGCAUGAGGUGAAUGGUUUUCUCCUCCAUGGACUCCUGCCACCAUGGGCUACCUCACCAUAGGCUCACAAGCAACAGGGCCAACUGACCAUGGAUGGGAACCUCCAUAUAUGUGAGUCAAAACAAACCCUCUCUUGGCUUGAAUUUCUUUUGCACCUUUGUCAAAAACCUUUGUAAUUACCUCAGGCCCAUUGCUAUAGUGACGGAAAGCUGACUGACAUACUCCUCUUCAGGAACUGGAAAUCUGGUGGUGAAGAAAACCUCCUGGGUAUGCACACAGAAUGCAGAGUAAGGUCAUGCAAGUAUAUGUGAGCUGUGAGAGCCCAAUCCCGAGGCUGGAAAGUCGGAGAAGACCUCGAGGAGGAAGAAAGGAUCUGGGCUAGUUACUGCCAGGCAGGUAGGGCUUGCAGAAGGGAGGCAAAGGGCACUUCAGCAGGGAAGAGCAGCCUGAGUCCUGGGCAGGGACGGCUUGUGUGGGGAACAAUGCUUCGGGCACUCAGCGCAGAGCAGAAGUUCCUGGGGAGGGCCUCUGUCCAAGUGAUGGCCCAGGGAGGCUGAGCCCCUGGUGGGUGCAGUUUGGUGUGUGUCGCAGGCUCUGGGAAGAUAUUUUUCUGGCUGAAGGAGCAGAAUCUUUAUACACAAGUUCAGUUUAAGUAUAUUUGAGAGGUUUUGUUCAAAGUAAUACAAUCCUAGACCAGGGACUCUUUCAAGAUUCACUAAUCUCUGGGAGAAUAGGCACACACACAUCCUUGUACACCCACCCACACACACACAUCCUUGUACACCUACACACUUGAAAGUGGACUUUAUUUUGAAGUGAAAAAUAGAAAAUGUUCAAAGGACCCAUGCUUAGAUGAAAAUCGAGUGUUCUCUGAGCAAGUAAUAACAAAUUAUCUUUGGACUUAAUUUAUAGCCUUUUAAUGGCGAAAGGGGGAGGAAAUGAGAAUAAG